rnacentral:lncRNA from 1 species
UGGGCGUAAGUCCCAUUACAUGAACUUUAAUAGUUAAAAAGCAUAAUUCUCCCUAUGAUUUGCCCCAUGAAUAUAUACUUACUUGCCUAAGUAUUAGUCAUGCCUCUCUCUGUCAUGUCUGCUAGGAUUCUGUAAUAAAGAGAUUCUUCAAAGUCUCUUUCUAGACCUUCUAGGAGAAGAAAAUGAUGUUUUUAUUUCCCAAAACCCAGUAAGCUUGUCCUGACCAGCCAGGAAGGUUCAGAGGGUCUUCUACUGCCUCCCCUAGUCAAAGAUCUGUAACUUCAGAAUUAGUGUCACUUUUUAAUUGUGGUGAAAGCCUCAAAAUACAUUAAACCCCAAAGAGAUUUUCACUACUGAGAUUUUUAUCAUCUUGGAAAAUGUUUCCUGUCUUUUGGCACAUUUCUGCAUUCAAACAUUUCCUGAUCUUCCAGGUCACCAGUUCCAGUGCUCCCACUACAGAAACCCUUCCAUCUCAAGCUCUCCAAUCCACUUUUUCUCCAUUAAUCACCCCCAGUUAUCAAUUUCCUCCUUAUCCUGCCAGAUUCCCUGAUCCAUUCUUAUAAUCAUCCUGUUGGUAAUAUUUCUUUUUUUUCUUUUUUCUUUUCUUUUUUUUUUUUUUUUUUUUGAGACAUAGUCUCGCUCUGUCACCCAGCCUGGAGUGCAGUGGUGCAAUCUCGGCUCACUGCAAGCUCUGCCUCCCAGGUUCACGCCAUUCUCCUGCCUCAGCCUCCCAAGUAGCUGGGACUACAGGUGCCCGCCACCACUCCCGGCAAUUUUUUUUUUUUUUUUUGUAUUUUUAGUAAAGAUGGGGUUUCACCAUGUUAGCCAGGAUGGUCUCAAUCUCCUGACCUCGUGAUCCGCCUGCCUCGGCCUCCCAAAGUGCUGGGAUUACAGGUGUGAGCCAUCGCGCGCGGCCCCUCCUGUUGGUAAUAUUUCUAACUCCAUCUUCCGUCUCCCCUUCCACUGUACUCCCCUGGAAAAACCCAACAGUGAUUAAACUAGCUACUACUUAAACGAUACCUGCAGUCCAGCUGGUAGAAGAAUAAAACAAAACCAAACACAAGCAUGCUCAUGAGUCUUACUUUAGACUCAGGACCACAAAUCUUGCAGGGCACUCAAUACUGCCAGGCAACUUUGCCACAGUGCUCUACAUAUGUGUUUCCUCACUUCUCCAGGUGACGAUAUCACACGUCUACCUCUCUCCUCUAGCUCCCCACCACUUUCAAAUGCAUAAAGAACAGAAGCAAACAGAUUCACCUUUUCAAUGCCACAUCUACCACUCAUCUGCCAUACUUCUUCUCUGUGUUCCCUUUUGCUCUUCUGGAUGAAAUGUCUCUGCUCCUGUUGAAGUCCAACCCCCCAUCUUAUGCUCUAAAUCCCAUCUGCUCACACCUUACCAAGGAUUUAUCUCCAAUAAUUAUCCCUCCUUGUGCACAUCAAUGUCAUGUGGACAAUGUCUACUAGAUCAUAUUCAUUAAUGUGCAAACAUACCAGAUAUCUUUACUUUGUUCUGAAUCCUCCAGUAGGCAUUCCCCAUUGCUUUGUCCCCCUUCACAGCAGACUUCUUAAGGGAAUUCUCUACAGCUGAAAUACCCACUUCCUCACCUCACAACUCUUUCUCAACUCAUUUCAUUUCAACUUCUACCCCCACCAGUCCUGUCAAGACACCAGCCGACAGCUUCCCUUGACACAUUGCCAAGCCCAGUGGUCGCUUCUCUGUUCUUACACUGCUUGACCUCCCUCCUACUUGAUUAUCCCCUACUUUCUUCUAGUAGCUUCCAGGACACCUCAUUCUCAUGGUUUUCCUCACUGACUAUUCUUUUUCAGCCUUCUGUGCCUCCUCUCUGGGCUCAGCCUCCAAGCUAGAACCCCUUCCUUUCUCUGUGUACACUGUCCUUCAGGGUAACCUCCUCCAGCUCCAUCUAUGUGCCAGUGAUUCCCACACUAGAGAUUUGCAGACCCAGCUUCUUCCUUCUUGACAUAUUCACCAAGAUGACUGAUAGGCAAGUCAAAUUUCACAGGGUCAAAACAAUUCCUGACUCUCCUUUUCCUCCUCAUUCCCCAUAAUUACUUUUCCUUCUGUAAAUUGUCCUACUCUGGCCAACAAUCAAGGAACCACACCUGAUACUUCUGUUUCCCACACCAAUCUAAGCCAUGAGGAGUUUCUCUUUAUACCAUCUUCAGUGAUACCCCACACAUAUUCUACUUUUAUCAACUUUUC